GCAUCUUAGCAUAUGCCUUGGCUGGCUAGCAGCCUAUAAAUAUGUAUCCCCAACCCCUCAGGUUGGCAUGGCAUUGUGUGAGAAAUAAACCAACGAAAAUUGUCCCAACUCUCCUAGUGUCAUCCACAUCUAUCAAUGCUCAGGCUGAAAGGCAGUGGCAUGGACCUACAGCCACAGGAGGGCGAGAAGACCGAUGGAUGGUGUGGUGUGGUGUGGAUCAUCAGUUCCAGCCCGGGCUUGAUUGAUGGGUUCUAGUGUUGCCGCCUUAGCUCGUUUUGCAUUCACAAGUGCUGCUGGCUCUUAGCUUGUGUGACUGAAGAAGGACGGACCUCGUCAUGGUGAAGCCCGAAGCCAUCGCGAGGGAUGAAGCCAUUCUCGUCGAGAUUAGUUAGUUUGUCUUAUUUUUUUCAGAGUUGGGAAUAACAAACGGAUGAUCGCUUGCUUGCUGUGUUGAUUUUUUUAGUGGAACAUGUUGCUCACAAUACUGUUUGGUAGGAUGCAUUGUAGCAGCUGCUCUUAGGGCAUCAGCAGUGUGUAGAGGCAGCCCAGCCUCUAAGCUGGGUCCCACAUAUGAGCCUCUAAUCUUAGCGUCUGUUGCCUCUAACAUGGAGCCCACCUUUUCAAUUAAAAACAAUAGUUUUUACUUGUUUGGCUGAUGAGCAGCACAUGCAGCACCAGCUGACCGGUGGGUCUGGACCAUUGCUUUUGAGCUUGGAGGCAGCCUCUUACGCUAGCGUCGAUGCUAGUGUUUUUAGCUUAGAGGCAGCAACGUGCAGUGCAUAGAGGCAGCUGCUACAUGCUUGGAGGCGGGCUUAGAGGCGGAAAUAUCACACACUGUGGAUGCUCUUAGAAAUCAUCCUGGUAUGGUAGUGCAGGCGUAUGAGGAGGCAAAGCACACAGGUUUGCAAAUUACUUAUUGUAUUUCUGCUCUCAUAUGUGAUAUCAAGUUUAUAUAAAUUGCUAUUCUUCUCAAAUUUCUUGCCUCGUGGAUCGAGAGAAUACUUAUUGUUUUAGCCUGAUGAGAUGGAUCAUACAUGUAUCAAUGACCAACAGUACCGUGUAUGUAUGUAUGUAUUUAAAUGA